rnacentral:rRNA from 1 species
GGACCCGCACAAGCAGCGGAGCGUGUGGUUUAAUUCGAGGCUACGCGAAGAACCUUACCAGGGUUUGACAUGUACGUAGUAGUGAAGCGAAAGCGGAACGACCCUUCGGGGAGCGUACACAGGUGAUGCAUGGCUGUCGUCAGCUCGUGCCGUGAGGUGUUUGGUUAAGUCCACUAACGAGCGCAACCCUUAUCGCCAGUUAUACGUGUCUGGCGAGACUGCCGGUCUUAAGCCGGAGGAAGGUGGGGAUGACGUCAAGUCAGCAUGUCCCUUAUAUCCUGGGCUACACACACGCUACAAUGGCCGGUACAGUAGGGUGCUAAGCCGCGAGGCGGAGCCAAUCCUCAAAAUCGGUCUCAGUUCGGAUCGUAGGCUGCAACCCGCCUACGUGAAGUCGGAGUUGCUAGUAACCGCAGGACAGCUAUACUGCGGUGAAUACGUUCCCGGGUCUU